rnacentral:lncRNA from 1 species
AUUCUCAAAGAAUCUAUGUGGGUUUUUUUUUUUUGAGAGAAGUUGUCUUAAAAUAUAGCUCCUGGAGCGAGUGGAGCCCCGAGGCCAGAGCGGCCCCCUGGACAGAGCCCAGGCCUUCCCCAGCUGUGCCCCACGUCACCAAGGUGCCCACGACUGAUGGAGAGAACCCAAGUUCCCCAGGAGCAACCAGCCUCCCAGCCUGCAGGGCUUCUGCAGGGCCAGCUGAUCUCUUCUGACUGCCCGCGAAUGCCCCUUAAAGCACAAAAUGCAGCUCUCCCUGGCUCGACAGCAUCUCCUCUGCAUCUUGUGCACGUUUCCUCCUCGGCGCCGCUGCCUGCGUUCCUGGUGGCUGGAGGAAGCCUGGCCUUCGGGUCUCUCCUCUGCAUCGGCCUCGUCCUGAAGUUCAAGAGGACGUGGAAGCCGCGGGCUCUCCAGGAGUGCAAGCCGAGCGUGCACCCGCCUCGUGCCCUGGGGCAGCCCAAGCCCACCCUCGCGCUGGCUCCUCUGCUGUCCCCGCCAGUGUCCCCCAGCAGCCUGGGGUCUGACAACACCUCGAGCCAAAGCCGGCCAGAUGCCAAGGACCCACGAAGCCCUUACGACGUCAGCAACAGAGACUACUUCUUCCCCAGAUAGCCGCCUGGCCUCCUGGCCGCCGGGCCAGGUGUGGAACAGGACCGUCUGCUGCCGACCGACAAUCUCAGGCCACGGCUGCGUGGACACGGCGGCGGGUUUCUGCAUCUGUCCAGAAGGAAGAG